AUAAGUGUGUCUAGAAUAUUUUAGAAGACAUUUUGCGCUUAGAACUUUUAACGGACUGCCGCAUAAGAACUAAUAAUGAAGUGGUUUAUAUUUGUCUAUGUAUGCAUAUUGAUGCACUUAACUGAGUGUAUGGCUGAUACUGAUGUCUUUGAUUUUGGAGACAACAUUGGUAGAGUUUCGUUCACAAAAUCUGGAAACAUUGGCUUUUUUGAAAAAAAUGUUGAAAUACCAAUUAUUAUACCAAAAUGUUCGAAGUUAACUUACGUUCGAGUAAGCGUAGACAACAAACUCGGACCUCCUAA